CAGACGGGCUCCCCUCCAAUGGCCAACGACCGCCUGGCCUCAAAGCACCCCACAAGCUGUGCGUCCCCGUACCACCUUUGAACCCAGGAAUCCAGAGGCCAGAAACCACUGGUUUCAACAAGAAAGGGACCUACAAGGGAGUGGCCUGGAGACUGAGCUUCGAAGCAAAACGGGGGAACCCGCUCCCCUCACCCAGCCCUUGGGACUCGUCCUCUCAACACCCGAAGUGCUCAGAGCUGAGACAGAUCCAGAUGUGGAAUAUCUGUCCUCUUUCUGGAGGCACGGCAUCCCAAGGUCCCUGCCGAGCCAGGCAUAGAGGGCAGCUGGGACGUCCCAAAGGCUGUGGGGUAAUUGAUGUGCUUGGUUUCUGGGGUGCCCGACAGCCCGCACUUUCCUGGGGUGUACCCUCUCCCCUGCCUUUCCUGGGACUGCUGGGGGCCUGCCGGUUGCAGUUGCCCCAGUGCCGGGAACAGUUGCCUCACGGGCUCCAGGAAUCCUCUGCAUUGCUUUUGCCGUUGUCACAGGCCUGGCCUUUCCCAGACAGGAGGUGAAAAGUGUGUCCCUGGCUGCCCUUGCUUGAUAGGUGUGCCUUGGAGAUAGUUGACUUUUACAGCACAUGGAUCAAUCUCAUUUUGUAAAACGUGAUAUCUUUCCAAUGGCAUUUUUACAACUGUAUUUGUUGGGCUUGUAAAACCCUUGAAUUAGCUUUAAAAUCCUCAAUUCUGUGGAGGCUGAAGAAAGACUAUUUAUACAAUUUGGUUGAAUUUCCGGAGGAUGUUUCUAAGAUCUGUAAAACUCUGAUGAAUGCAGGCUGAUGGGGUUCAGGACUUGGGGGUGGCAAUGCCCUCCUGGAAUCUGACAACGACUUCCUUAAUCUCCUCCUUGCUUUUUGAUUUUUUUUUGCCCCUGCCCUCACUUCCCUCAAAGGGAGAAAACUGGGAAAGGACUGGGCUAAGGGUGGCCUCCACAGAACCUAGCAAGCACCCUAGAAAGUGGCUGUUGCCCACGCGAUGGGGUCUACACCCAGAAGCCUUCUCCCUGUGCCCCAAUCAAUCCACGCUGGGAAAGUUUCUCCUUUGCAUAUGUAAAAAGGGCCUGGCAGGAGAAGAGAGAAUGUAACAUUUCCCUGGAAUUUCUUCAGGGAAUGGACCCGAUAGGUGAAAAUGAAAACUCAAGUAAAAAAUUUUAAAGGGAACUAUUUUUUUUAAGGCUAUGUCCAAAGAAAAUCAUGUUUGAGUUAUUGUUUCCUACACAAGACCAUCAGAUGACAGUGACGUCAAGCAAAUUAUUAUUAUAUAAGACAAAAAUAACUGUUGGGAGAUGUUGAGAAAUGUUUACAUUUAUAAUUUCUGCUUCAUACCUCCAGGUCUCACACAGCAUUGGGAGUGAUGGCAGUUGACUACAUAUACUACUAUUGUUAUUAUUUGUUAUGGUUUGACUUAGAUUCUUGAUCUAAUAAUUACCCCCCAGACAAUGACAGAAUUUGAUUUCUCAGCUAAGAGCCAAAAACCAUUGUGUUUCUAGCUUCUAUAGGCAGUGAGACAGAAAAAAAUAAAUUAAAUUGAAAUCUCCAGGUGUUAGCCAAGGCUGGUACAUAUCAGGUUGGCAACGGCCCAAUUUAUUUCUCCAACCAGCUUUAGGUGCAUAUAUAGAGAGAGAGAGAGAGAGAGAGAGAGAGAGAGAGAGAGGCACACACACACACUCAGGCAAGAAUAGGAGCCCCAGACGCUGGAGGGAGCCUCUCCUGGGAUAGUGAGAAUGGCUAUCAGGACUCUCUCUUCUAGGUCAAAGCCACAGAGAAGGUCUACUUACCUUUCAGCUGCUCUUCAAGGGGGACUGGAUGGUGAGCAGGGCCCCACAGUCCGCCCUUUCUCUGGGCUGCCCACUCGACCUCCGCCAGCUUGGAGGGCGGCCCGCCGGUGUGUGGGGUGGACCUUGAGGGCCACCCGGGCCGCCUGGAUCUGUAGCCCAGGCCAGAGCCCAUAGCAUACAGGUGCGGCCUCUGCCUGUCAGAGGCCCUCGCCUGACGCCAAAGCCCGCCUUCCUUGCCAUAGCCAAUCCUCCUCAGGGCCAGCCAGGCCUGCAGGCCUCGGGGCCAGGAAUGGUCUCUCCGAUUUGCAAAUCCCAAAGCGGGCGCCUUCCCCGAACCAGCGUGCGCCCCGGGGACGCCUUGGGACGCGCAGUUUGGACAGAAGCAGCCAUAACGUGCCAGGCCGCCUGUGCAACCAGUCUCCAUGGCGCUGGGGGUAGGGGGAGGACCCGAGUCUAGUCGGGCUUCCAGCUCCUAUCAGGGGUGGCCAAGGCGGGGGAGGUUCCCGACAGGCCCUGGGAGGCCGCCCCUCAGGUCCUCCCUUGCCCCCCUCUGCUCGGCCUGCUUGGGAAUCUCUGAGGGGCCCGCGCAGCAGUCGCGCCAGGCUGCACGACGCGGGGCUGCGGCUGGCGUCGGUCCCGGCGACGGCCACAGCGUGGCAGCAGCGAGCGCCCAGCGCGGUCGCAAUAAAUAAUCUGCCCGCGGCAGCCGCAGUCAGGCAGCCCGCGGCCCUGCGACGCAAACGCGCAGCUUUAUCCUCCCUGAGUGCACCCACAGCGCCGGUGGACGUCCCAAACAUCUACAGCCCCUUCUUAAUUUUCUAAUGCACACCAAGGUAUUAUCUUAAGGUGGAAAAACAACAACAACGACCAGAACCACAGAACAAACAAAAAGAACUCGAGCCCAGAACCUCAGGAUCCUUUCUGGUCGCAGUCCCAGGAAGCUCCCGGGGCAAAUCUGGCCGACGCGCACCCAGGCCAAGCAACGGUCUGUGCCACCGCUCCACAUAAAGUCAGUGCCCACGGUACCCUCCGUGCCUCCCGGGCGGCUUCACAGUCCCCUCCCGGCUCGCGGAAAGUGGGGCGCGCGGUCGGCGGCCCGCUGCGCCGAUGUGGGGGUGGUGGGGUCCCCCUAUCGCCCAGACGCGGUUUGCGUCCUUCUUUCAACCUUAGCUGCGGGCCCCUGCCACUCUCAAUAACACCAGCACAUUCUCUGCACCGAAACUUCCCGCCAAGCAACACCCAGCCAAUUAACCCCAUCCUCUCCUCCAACACAGAGUUCCACCCACGCACCUAGUCCCUCUCCCCGCGCUUCAGACACAUCUGUCAUCGGAAAACCGCGUGAAAGGAAGCAGGCAAUCAGCAGAAGAACCUGGCCGAAUUAGUAAGUUUUUGUUUGUUUGUUUUUUUUCCCCCUCAUUCUACCUUUCUCUCCAGAAACCGAGUCCCUCAGAAUAGAAGGUGCUGUGUUGACACUAAUAAAAAAGCAGGUCGAUUAAUUCACUUUGCCCUCACCUCUUCCCACCUCCCCAGGUCGGGAACUGUCUUCAAUUGUUGGGAAAUUCAACCGAGCCAACUGGGUCAUGAAUGAAAAAAAAAAAAAAAUCCAAACCCGGGAGAUUGGCAAGGAACGCGGAGGGCAGGGCCACUUCUUUUUGGGCUCGGCAAGGUCGCUGGGGAAGAGGGGAGAGACCUCAGUGCUCCUGCCCCAUGCCAGGGCGCUGUGCCACUGAAAGGAGGCUGGCAUUCACUGCCAUGGUGAGCAAGAGAGAGGAGAGAGGGAGAGUGUGUGUGUGUGUGCGCGCGCGCGCGCACGUGUGAAGGGGGGCAAGUGUGAACGGUGAGUGUGGGCGAGGGUGAGUAUGCCCCUCUUCAAAGCCGCCCCAGUGCCCUCUCCCACCGCCGCCGGCGCCGGCUGCCAUCUCACCACCUUUGCUCCUGUCUCCCCACAUGUCUCACCUUCAGAUGGCGGCUCCCAGAAGCUCCUGCCCCUCUGACAGCUGUCGCUUGGGCAGCCGGGGAGACGAAUUGUCCUCCUUCCUGGUGCCAGAGGACGCAGGAAAUUAGCCAGGUUGCGAGUUGCGAAGCGGCCGCCGCGGCGCCGGGAACUGGACGCGCCCCACCUCCAGCGGGAGCGGCCGGGCCGGGCCGGGCCGGGGCCUCGUCUCGCUCGCCAUCGCCGGACAAAGCGCAGCCAAGCCCGGCUGGAAGGCAGAGCUCCGAAGCAGGCAGGACGGAGCGGAGCAAA
rnacentral:lncRNA from 1 species